rnacentral:lncRNA from 1 species
UAAUUGAUUCUUUGUCUAACUUCUAUUAAAAAGGACAACAAGUCACGCUGUAGAUUGAACAGUAAAGUACUCCCAUUCUACUAUGUGCCAUUUUUAUUUUUAUUUUACUCGCAUCCAUUUUUCUACCCGACCAUGCCUGUUCAACUUCACAUAACCAUCUCUAUUUCUCCAUUUACACGCGCAACUUCACCAUCCCCACUACCACAAGCUUCCUAUCUUUUUCUUAUUGUGCACAUACCUCGUUUGAUAUUGUUUGUGGAACUCUAAAAUCUCUCAUUCGUGUCCUAAAAAAUAAAAAUAAAAAACCACUUUGGAACACAAGAAGUAAAUUCCUAUGUGUUUGGUUCGACUUCUUCUUCAGACCUUAUGAGGUACAAUUUAGAUGUUUGUGAACAUUAAACAUUUGUUUUUCUGUCAUUCUUUGAUUUUUUGAAUCUCCAUAUUACAUAAUGCAGAAUUAAAAGCUUUGAAAUACUCUUGAUAAGAAGGUGAUUGAAGAAGUAUAUCAAUUUAAAUAUCUCUUUCCACUCCCCUUUCUUCUUGAAAAAAAACUUAGCUGCUCCCAAUUUUCCUUUUACGUAACAUGAAAUGGACUGUAGAUGGUUAAUAGUGUUUUCUUCGUAAUUUUUUUAUGGAAUUGAUUUAGGUUUUGUUCCAAGUUGUAUAGAAAAAUCAUAUUUUCCUUUCCAACAGAAGCAAAGUGAGUGAGUUUGUUGGAAUUCUAUUUCUUUGUUUUGCAUAGAAGUUUUCGGGCUUUGGUCAGUUUCUCUCUCUCUUCAAUUUUUUCUUUAAUGGACUUUGUGUUUAGAUAGGUGUAUUUUUUCAAGUUUCUCGACUGUCCUUGCUAGUUUUCAUCUUUCUACUCAUUAUACAUUCUUGCUCAUCUCUCUAUGGAAAAUUGAUUUUUUCUGCUAAAAUAAUUAUUAAGUAUGUGUGGAUGUGUUUCUUGUUUAGACUUUAUAAUUAAUUUUUCAUGAAAAGUAUUGCCUUAACGAGUUGGGUAAAUUGAUGUUAAUUUGGUGGAUUCAUUUUUAUUGGAAUACCGACCAUUUAGUCUUGCUAAUUUUAUGGCUGGUUAACAAUAAUUGUUUCAUAAAUGUUAUAUAAUUUAUUUUUAUUAUUAUUAUUUUUUU